AAGCAGAUAUUUAUGAAGUCAUUGGGACAUGAACUAUCUCCCAUUCAACAGGUUAAUCACUAAUAUUUGGAGAAUUUCCUUGUCAUGCUGUAUUAGGAGGAGAACAUCACCAGACAGACAUUUUAAAUUGUUUUAUUUAACUAAAACAAUGGUAUGUAUUCUGGAUUUUUUUCUUCAACAGCAAACAUGUAAUAUUUUAACACAAGAAACAUAUGAAUUUUUGAAUUUAUUUAAACAUUCAAGGCUUGUUUUUGCUAAAAUUGUUUUUAACUAAAAUAGUUAAAUGAAAUAUUUAAAAACAAAAACAAAAAUUGACUGUCAGCCAGGUCAACAUGAGACACUUAAAAUUUUGGCUUCUGCAGCUAACUCUGUCAUCUUCACCUUCAUUUUCUUGUUUGUUCAUAAUCUGGGAAAGAAAAACAAGCUUUCCUGCUUUUUCAGGUCCCAAACGAUUUCUCAGUUUGGAAUAAAUUAGUCCAAAGGAAGAAAAUAUUCUUUCUACACUGUCAGAAAAAGCUACUGCUGUUAAAAGUGCAAUUAUCACUUCAACAGUCUCUGAAUCCGAGUGCUUAAGUGACUUCCACCAGUUGACUGGUGUGACUUUUUUUUAAAACGUCAGCAGGAAACAUAUUUCUUGAAUGGUUCUUAUUCCCCAACUGGAUUUUUUUACAGCCUACUGCCAUUAUAGGUUUUCCCUUCUAGUGAGAGAAUGGUAUGGUAGCCUUCAUUGAUUUGAGAUCUAUGUUCAGAAAGACCUCAAGACUUCUGAAAUAUGCUGCUCAAACAGCUUCACUUUUGUUUCUACUGCCUGUCCCUCCCUUCUCACAUUUAUCUCCAAACUACUUCUCCUUGUCCAGGUCUAUUCUGCCCCCAGCAAUUUUCUAUUCCAGGGGUUGGUAACCUUUCAGAAGUGGUGUGCCAAGUCUUCAUGUAUUCACUGUAAUUUCGUGUUCUGGUAAUACAUUUUACAUUUACAGGGGCCGGCAGAUGGAACCCCAGACUGGCAGCGGGCUGAGCGGGGCCAGCGACCGGGACCCAGGCCAGCAGUGGGCUGAGCCGCUCAGUCUGCUGCUGGUCUGGGGUUGCGGCCGCCGGCCUUGCUCAGCCCACUGCCGGCCCGGGGUUCUGUCCAUCCAGGCCGGAAUUGGGCUAAGAGGGGCCGGUGACCGGGACCCAGGCUGGCGGACGGAACCUCAGGCUGGCAGCAGAGCCCUACUGAAAAUCAACUUGCUUGCUGCAGAUUGCUGACCCCUGUUCUAUUCAUUGAACUUUUUGAAAUGUUGCACUUUUAGAGAGAGUGUGCCAAGGAAGAUGAACACAUUCUCCCACAGUUCAUUGGGAAAGAAUCGGGUGCGCAGUUUACUGCAGCACAGAGAACUAUGGGACGUAUCUCCAGAAAGUCCUGAUGAUGUACAUGAGGGAGUGCACCAUAACUUGGGUAUGGUGUUGCAGUGUAGCUGUUCAUACACAGACUAGAGUAACGUGGUUCCUCGUAGCAUACAUGUAACACAUAAUGGACAUUAAACUGUCUGAAUGCCUGCCAUAUACCUUUUGGAUUAGGCUUGCUUUCAGUGUGUCUAACUACUGGUUUGGUCUGAACUGUUUCAGCUAGCACUGGUUUAGUGCCAAUAUGAAUGUCAUUAAAAUGGUUCAAACUGAAAUGGUCCAGAUCGUCAACUACUCCCACAGAGCACCAGUAGCCCUUUGAAGUGUUCCAGAAUCCAUUGCUUCUGGGAGCUGUGCCAGUAACUGGAAGUAGGUAACCAGAAGGCCUUGCAAAUGAAAGUUCAGAAGUGUUUGUGUGGGCAUGAGGUAAAACUGCACCUUUUCAGAAUGAGUCAAUAUAGAUCCAGUGCUAACAUCCAAUCCCUUCCUCUCUAUUCACCUGGUGCAACGUCUUAGUAUAGCAGUGAUAUUGGUUUUUACCUAUUUUUGUACUGCUCCCUGUGUCAAUAGUCACCACCUAGCCCCUGCCUUGAGCCAGGAAAACAUGCGUGAUCUUAAAUAAAACCUUAACCUGUAAAUUGUGGCAGACAAUGCUACCAAAACUUGAAUCUAACACUGUGUCUUACCAAACGCCGAGGAAAAUCUGUAUAGUUCCCUGAUCCCAUUCAUAUAUUUUUUAAUGGAAAUCCAGACUUCCAUAUCUCUUUGAGACCUGAAUAUGAUCGGUCAUUUCCGAAGAUAGAUGCUAUAAGAGGUAGAUAAGUUUUCAGACUGAAUCCAACAGUUGAUUUUGGAAAUCAAUAUGCAUAACUGUUUCUGAGAACAUUUUACAUUGAAGUCCUUUGUGUCCUUUAAUUAAAAUCUAUAUAGAGCAGAAUACAUUAGCAGGAAACGCUAAGGCAGGAUUGUGUGUACUUCCUGAAUGCAAUGUAGCCCAGUUUGGUACAGUUCUAUUGCAGAUCAGCAGGGGUUCAGCAGUGAGGUCUAGAUACAGAAACACACAUAGGUGGAGAAGUUUAAAUGUGCAUCAUCCAGAGAGAGGCACUGAACUGGAACCCAAGAGACCUGGGUUCUAAUCAGUGUUUCAUUAUUUUAGUAACUACAGAAAAAUCUCUAAUAAUAUUCCUCUCUGCCUGUACUCCUUCAAUGCUGGUUGGUUCUCUGCCUCAACUGCCAAAGGAUUAAGCAUAACUAAACCAGGCAAAUCUAUAGAUUGGAUAAAUCAGUGGUUCUGAACCGGGGUCUUGGGGCGCAAGCAGGUUUUUUGCAGGGGGUGAGGGGGAUGCCAAGCAGGGCCAGCAUUAGACUCACUGUGGCCCAGGACAAAAAGCUGAAGCCCCAUUGCAUGGGUCUGAAGUCCUAAGCCCUGAAGAAUGUAGCUUCACAGUGCCCUUGUGGUGUGGGGCACCAGGUAGUUACCCUGUUUACUACCGCCUAACGCCUGCUCUGGCUUUUAAAUGCAGAAAACCAGUUGUAGCAUAGCUGGGCUGUGGAGUUUUUAUAGCAUGUUGGGGGGUGGGGUUCAGAAAGGAAAAUGUUGAGAACCCCUGGGCUAGAUUGUGGGGGGAGACUUUUUUAAAAGGCAUUACAUACACCAUUAUAUAUACACCAAUAUCCUGUAUGUUGCUUAAGACAAUUGGUAAAUGUUUACCUGCAAAUGGACAAGGAAAAUACCUGGCUUUGUAAUGUCUGUCAUCUCAGUACAGUGAACAUGAAUAUGGCUUAUUGAAAUCUUAUCUCUGACAGCUAGAGAAAACAUUAGCUUUUUGAUAGAGAUGUGGGGAGACUUUUUUCCUUCAUCCAUUAAUGGUAGUUCCUUAGAAAAAGGUGCGCGCUCGCGCUCUCUCUUUCUCUCAUAUGAGCACUGUGAGGAAGGUGGCUUGCUGUCUAUGGGAUUUCUUUCAAUUCUUUCCAUUGGAUGGACUCCCUUGUGACAGAAUGGCCUCUUUGUUUUUAGUGUUCCACUUCUUUUAAUUAGAGUUUCUGAGCUUGUUUAUAUAGGGACACCAACCCGUCAGUAUUGUUGGCACUGCUACCUGAGAGGAUAUUUUUGUUUCAGAAAUCCACUAUAUUUCUCAAACUUGACUAUUUUGGAAACUGAAUAGCUAUAGAGCCAUGUCGGACAUAAACUGUUCUCACAAGUAUUUAUUCUAUGCAGCUAUCAAGAUAAUAUGUCUGGGCUGUUUUAUCCACUGUGUAUGUGUGCAUAAAGAGAUUUAUGGUUCAAUAUUAGGUGACUUUUCAGAGUUAACACAUUACAGCCUCCAGAUAUCUUGUUUUGGGGAAACAAUGUAUCAAACUGAUAUUUUUUUCCUGUUAGUGACUGAAUCAAUAAUAGGGUUCAAUUCAGAGGAUAGCUUUACAAAGGCUCCUACAAUCUCAGAUCAUCUUACUUGAUUGCUCCAUAGUUUGUCCUCAAAACUCAGGUUUUGCUUGCUCUCAUUUCAAGGGACACGCCAAAAGGGACAGUAUCUCAGAGCUUGUUGUAGAGACCAGCAUGAGUAACUUACUUAUAUUUGAUCAUUUUCAAAGAGUAGCGUUAUUUUCUCUGGAUUCCACCUAUCAUGUGGUGUCUCUGUGCCUGGCCCAGAUUACCAGUCUGGGCUUUUUCAGUGAGAGGAUUUUGCAUACCGUUGUCCCUUAGACAAGAAUCUAACUUCAUGUGAACAAUGUGUCUGUUUUGGAUGUUGAGAGCUGUUGUAAGUUCUCACUGUAUGGACUGGCAUGUGAGGGAUUUUGUAUAAGGAAUAUAAUUAAAACAGUGUUCUAUUUACAUUGUAAAAAUUUAAUAUUAUCACCGAGGGGAUGGGGUGCCACAAUGUUACUGGAUUCUCCUUCCCCAAAGCGUAGAUGACACCUGACACCAGCAUGCAAAUAUACUGGGCUGGUGACCAGUACAGAGAGUGGAUUAAGCGUCUCUAGACAGUACAGGAAAACCAGAGACCAAAAACACACCUCUGGCAACUUGCCAGCAUUGUGCCUAUUUUUUGAGCAGUUUGACAAGCACAGAGCUAUCAGUGGUGCAUGAUGAACUAGUUAGCUGGAAUGGUGCCCUCCUGGCCCCAGAAUCCAGCAUGGGGCCUGAUGGGAACCAGCAGCAGGUGCAGAGAGAGGCCCACAAAGUGAUGCUGUAGCUGAAAUGAGUCCCAAAGGAGCUUUUGAUGCAAGAGCAGCACAUCCUGCUGUACUUGAAGGAGCUGUUUGAUGCCCACUCGGGGAACAACCUGGCCGCAGAGCCUACGGACGACAGACUGGACAGAAGCUGCCUUGGAGCCUGGCCCCUCGACCUCUAGUGACUGCAGAACCGCAACAGCUCGCCUGCUGUGUAAUACAAGCCUGGCUCAGCUUACUGUCAAGGACUGUUCCAAGAGGAAGCAUUUCUGUGAUGAACUUACGAUUGAAAUUCUGGAUAGGGUCCACAAGCAGGUCCAGUAACAAAAACGGACGGACUUAUGGCUGAAGGCAAGACAUGGCGAGAGUCGAGAGGAAAGGCUGAGGCAGGCCGCACAGCUUGAGAACAAGAUUUCAGUGCAGGAGCAGGUACUUGUUUCACUGUUCCUGGAACAGGAGCAUUGGCUAAAGGAGGAGGACAGAGGUCAGCAGAGAGGACAGUUUGAGUUGCUGAUGUCAGUAAUGGCUGAAAGAGUACCAACUCCUGCUUCAUCACCCACAUUACAACCUCAGACCUCUGGGCAGUAUCCUGGGAUUUAGUCCAGAAACAGUUUGGAAAACUUCAUGACUGUGUAGCCUAUGCAGUAAGGCCCCAAUAGUGGCUGGAUCAGGCAACUUAAACCAAUGCGGUCCUCCAUAUUGAUCUCCUUCCUGUGGAUGCCUCCACCUCACUUGUGUGCGGCAAGAAGGAAAGGAAACCUGAGGGUCAGGGGGUUCUGUUUUGUACAUAGUUUCAUUAUUUGCAGUUUUUCCAUGCACUUUUUUCCUCUUCUGGUUCUGUUGUUACUAGGGUGUUGGUGUAGCAGUGUCAGCUGGCCUGCCUGGUAGUGGGUGGGUGUUGUAGUUUUCCAAAACAUGUUUAUAAAUAAAGCUUUUUGUGUCAUUAGGAGAGUUUAUUUUUAGCACUGUCAUAUUGUACAGUGUGUGUUUUUAAAAUAACAAAGGUAAACACAUGAUCAAGGACGAUUAGGAAUUAGUAAGCAAAUGACAUUCCUUUAUACAAUCCUCACUUCAGUUACUACUUUAUAUUACUCCUGGGGGAAAUUCUGUACAAUAUUUUAAAACUUGGCAUAUUUUAUUUGUUAAAAUAGCACUAUAUAAUCACACCAGUUUGUUGUUUUAGUAAUUUAUUUCGCCAUACUUGUUCGCAACAAAGUCUAACAAUACAGAUACCAAAAAAAAAAACUUCCCCAAAAGUAGUGUGUUAAAGAAAGCCCUACCACAAUCCACUUUGUUUCUCUGCCCCCUCCCCCCACAGAGCCCAACCUGGGGGCCAGACACCCUCUCCCCCAGAGCCCAGGGAUCCAGAGGGAGAAACAGCCUUAUGCUGGGUCCCGGGUUUGUGUGAAGUUUCCUGCACGCAGUCUCUUUCGGGGUGUACAGCUGUCCGGAGCCUUCCAGUUCUCUCUCUCCUCUCUUCUCCUCCUCCCUGCCCCAAGUAUUUUAUUUGCAAACUGGGGAGCUAGACUUGGCCAGGUCCAGCUGCUCUGCAGCCCGUUUCUGCAAGGGAAAAAGGAAAUUCUGCACAAACAUUCAUUCUGUGCAAAUUCUGCACUGCACAGUGGUGCUGAAUUUUCCCAGGAUAUUAUAUGAAUCUAUACUGUGAAUCAUACCCCACCAUUUCAUAAGUGGUUAUGUCAUUCAGAAGUACAUUGCAUGGCAAUCAAGUCCCUACUCUCCCCAAGCACUCACCUCAACCCCAAUCAAUAAGCACUGUCCCCACUCCUCCAAAAGGACAUUCAUAAAGUCCAUAAUGUGGGAGCACAAAGCCUCCCUGACUACUCUUGCCUCGGUGCAUCUAGCUCAGGCACAAAGUAGAAAGCUAUCUACUUUCUGCCUGAGUAGACUGGUUCAGUGGCCCUUCUCGGUCAUAGGUCCAUUUAGAAGGAAAUGGCUCACCUCUGGCUUCACAAAGAUUGUGAAGAGCACAGCAAUCUACAGUAAUGCGAACAGCAUUGGUGACUUGUACAUCCAAAUGGUCUGUAGACAUCUCCAGCAAGGAUUUCAGUCUACCAAAUGCACAUUCAACAACCAUUCUGCACCUGCUGAGAGUGUAAUUAAGAGAUCUUUUUCCAGGGCCUCCUAAAUUAGGGUAUGGUUUCAUAAGCCAAU